AUACGGAGGAUGCAAGCGUUAUCCGGAUUUAUUGGGUUUAAAGGGUGCGUAGGCGGUUUGCUAAGCGGGAGGUGAAAUGCCGGCGCUCAACGUCGGAAGUGCCUCCCGAACUGGUGGACUUGAAUGACUCUGCCGUGGGAGGAAUGUGUAGUGUAGCGGUGAAAUGCUUAGAGAUUACACAGAACACCGAUUGCGAAGGCAUCUCACGAAGGGUUGAUUGACGCUGAGGCACGAAAGCGUGGGGAUCAAACAGGAUUAGAUACCCUGGUAGUCCACGCAGUAAACGAUGAUGGCUAACCGCUGGUUUAUUCGGAUCAGUGGCCAAGCGAAAGCGAUAAGCCAUCCACCUGGGGAGUACGACCGCAAGGUUGAAACUCAAAGGAAUUGGCGGGG
rnacentral:rRNA from 1 species